GGUGGAGCACGAGGCCGGUUUACCCCCGUUUUGAUUUCAAGCUUGAUAUCUCAAGCUACCAGUCACCACUCCUCACCAAACUCCAUCCACAAGCUCGCCUCAACGUCCUGAAGCUCCCAGAAGUGGCCUUGCACGGCGGCGCUACUCGUGGUGGCGGCUGGAAGCCAGACCCGAUCAAAUCGAAAACCGAAGCUUCGAGCAAUAUAUCUCGCGCUACAGGACGUUGUUUUGAGUGUUUCUUGAACUGGUGAACUCAGAGUGAGGAUCUGAACAACUUUCCAGAAGGUAUCGAGGCCUGAAGUUGCAGUUUUUACGUCGAACUAGGAGCUCGCCGGUUUCUGGGUUUUUCCGGCCAACCGACUGGUUUGAGGUGAUCGACGGUUUGAUUUGGCGGACGAUUCGUGAAAGUGUAUUUUGAGCUGUUAAGAAGACGCAGCGGGAAUUUAGAGCGGGAAAUCCUACAGGUCAGGAGAACCAGGACGGUGAUCGGGCUGCUUAGAGUAGUGUUAUGUGAAUUACAGCAUUAUAUUGUGAGGUUUGUUAUGCUCAUUUAGAGCUUUGCAAUUUUACUUUGUAAGAGUGAAUUGUAAUAAUUAACUCGAGGUUUUCGAGUUUUUGUGUUGAGUGGCGAGUGGUGUGUUUGUUUGUGAGAAAAAAAUUCAGAACGUAUUUGUAUUAAUUGUUUAUUCAUGUUUCGGA